UACAGAGGUCCCAAGCGUUGUUCGGAUUCACUGGGCGUAAAGGGUGCGUAGGUGGUCGGGUAAGUUUGAUGUGAAAGCUCCGAGCUUAACUCGGAAAUUGCAUUGAAUACUAUUCGGCUAGAGGGUUGGAGGGGGGACUGGAAUUCUCGGUGUAGCAGUGAAAUGCGUAGAUAUCAGGAGGAACACCGGUGGUGUAAACGGCUUUCUGGACCAUAACUGACGCUGAGGCACGAAAGCGUGGGUAGCAAACAGG
rnacentral:rRNA from 1 species